AGCAGUAGCCGCGGGAAUACAGAGGGUGCGAGCGUUAAUCGGAUUUACUGGGCGUAAAGCGUGCGUAGGCGGCUUUUUAAGUCGGAUGUGAAAUCCCUGAGCUUAACUUAGGAAUUGCAUUCGAUACUGGGAAGCUAGAGUAUGGGAGAGGAUGGUAGAAUUCCAGGUGUAGCGGUGAAAUGCGUAGAGAUCUGGAGGAAUACCGAUGGCGAAGGCAGCCAUCUGGCCUAAUACUGACGCUGAGGUACGAAAGCAUGGGGAGCAAACAGGAUUAGAUACCCGCGUAGUCCCUGUCUCUUAUAA
rnacentral:rRNA from 1 species